rnacentral:rRNA from 1 species
GACGAACGCUGGCGGCGUGCCUAACACAUGCAAGUCGAACGAGAUCCAUGGGAGCUUGCUCCCGGAAGAUCUAGUGGCGAACGGGUGAGUAACACGUGAGAAACCUGCCCUGGAGUGGGGAAUAACUCGGGGAAACUCGAGCUAAUACCGCAUACCCUCGGAUGGUCGCAUGGCCGACCGAGGAAAGAUUUAUCGCUCUAGGAGGGUCUCGCGGCCUAUCAGCUAGUUGGUGGGGUAACGGCCUACCAAGGCAACGACGGGUAGCUGGUUUGAGAGAACGAUCAGCCACACUGGGACUGAGACACGGCCCAGACUCCUACGGGAGGCAGCAGUGGGGAAUCUUGCGCAAUGGGCGAAAGCCUGACGCAGCAACGCCGCGUGCGGGAUGACGGCCUUCGUGGUUGUAACCGCUUUCAGCAGGGACGAAACGACGGUACC